rnacentral:rRNA from 1 species
AGCGAACGCUGGCGGCAGGCCUAACACAUGCAAGUCGAACGACACCUUCGGGGUUAGUGGCGGAUGGGUGAGUCACAUGUGGGACCGUGCCUUUAGGCUCGGAAUACUACAGGGACACUUGUGCUAAUACCGAAUGUGUUAUUCGGGGGCAAGAUUCAUCGUCCUUAGAGCGGCCCGCGACCGUUUAGCUAGUUGGUUGAGGGAAUGGCGAACCAAGGUUACGAACAGUAGCUGGUCUGAGAGGAUGAGCAGCCACAUUUGGACGGAGACACAGCCCAAACUCCUACGGGAUGCAGCAGUGGGGAAUCUUGCGCAAUGGGCUAAAGCCUGACGGAGCCAUGCCGGGUGAAUGAUGUAGUUCGGAGGGUAGUGAAAUUCUUUCACCGGGGACGGUAAUGACGGUACCCGAAGAAUAAGCCCCGGCUAACUUCGUG